UCAUAAUUAUGAGAUAAAUUCUGCUGGCCUCCACGGACUUCCGUUUUUGCACUUCCGUAUUUUUCAACCUGCAGCACACAACUUCGUUCGCGCUGAGUGGUCAGAAUGGCUAUUUGUACGCGUUUGCUGCAAGACCUCCCAAGAAUAAUGGUUAACGAUGUACACCGAAUCUUUCUUGCCUCGUCCGAAAUGCCAAAAUCUAGUAUGGACAAAGCUUGUAUUGUAUGUGCCCGGCUACUUACACAGCUAUGAAGGUAAGCUAACAAACUUCUGCUCUGAGUUACUAAAGAUGCUACAUGCUAGCUCUCCACUAGCCUAAGUUAGCACAACAAGGAAACGUUAUUGGAGUGAUAAGUAAGGUCAUGCGUGUUUUUCGUGUCUGAAAUGAAAGAAAAAAAAAACAACAGUUCAUAUGUUAUUCUCAGUUUUAAUCAUGCAGUCAGGAGAGGUCACGGUUAGGUCCGAGUGUUUCAGGUCAAUGAGGAAAAACCAGAAGCCCCACUGUCUGAGUGUAGGGAAACAUUACCCUGCAGGUUCAGUGCAGGAUUGAUUCAGGUUCAAAAGAAGACUGUUCAUGUUUUUAAACGUCACAUUUUUGCGAGUCAUAUCAUUGCUUUUAGUUUGAUAACAGGUUAAUGACAUGCCUGAACUACGUGUGUCAUGUAUCAGAGAUAAAAUGUGUCCCAGAAAGAAUAUAGUAAGUAAAGUUUGUAUAAAUAGCAUGUCACAGAAAGUCAGACAUUAGAUGACUCGCAGAAGCACAACAUUGUUUACAGUUAUUUUAUUUUUUCCAUUACUUGUUCUACUCUUCUAUUUUAAAAUGAAUAAAGUGAAGUUAAUCAUCAAUGUUUGUCUCUCUUUAAAUGCAGUUGUACUCUAACAAAUGUUCUGUGUUGUAACAGAUUGUGCUAAGGGAUUCAAAGCCAUUGGGGGUGCCAGUGUAUGUGUGGCAGGUGCAGCCAUGUGAUGUCAUGUGGCAGCUCAACUCUACCAGACGGCACAUUUCUCCCAGCUGAAACUUACAUCGGUCCCCCUCCCCAGUGUUGAGCUGCACAGAAACUGAACAACAGUGGCACAAAACGGGGACCAAGGUAUUAAACCAUGUCCAGUUAAUGACAUGGUCAUCAUAUCAGCCAGACCAAGAGAGAGGAGACCGGUAGAAUGAACAAGAAGCAGUUUGUAAAAAGAAGUCAGCUUCCCCGAUGACAGACAGCUUCGUUCUGAAGGUGCAGGAGGCGUACCACAGACUUGGUGCAGAUGAGGCUCCGGUGAUAACAACCAUGGCUGUCUCUGGUGACGUACCUCUGGGUGGGUCCACGUUUGGUUCGGUGCAGGAGGGAAGCGGGCCAUCUUACCAACUACCAGUGAGGACGGCCCCCAGGACGCGUCCACACAAAGACAACCCUUCUCUCCCACAACUGUCACUCUCUCAUUACAGACUGGGACCCUCUGCAUGUGCAUUUGUGUUUACUGAACAUCAUCAUUUCACAUCCCUCACAACAUCAUUGGGGAAAUCAUACAAAGCUGAGAACAGAACACAACUGCAGAGUUUCUGUGUGGAGGGGCACCAACUAAGGAGAUGCCACAUCACUUCUACAAAAUUUAGAUAAGUGUGUCACACCAGGGCAGAAGGUUCUGCUGAGAACCUUGUGAAACAGCCUAUGGGAGUAGUCAGACUGAUGACAAAUGUUGGGGUCUUGCUUUGGAGCCUACAGCCAUCAAGGAGUACUGCAAGGUAAGAGAGGUAAACCACUACCCUUGUGGGGUCCUGAUCCACCCUGAGGCACCAUGGAUGGGUUCAACAGCAGAUGGGAUUAUGUAUGAUCCUGAGGCCAGCCUGAGUGUGGCCUGCUGGAAAUAAAAUGCCUAAAUGUGUGUAGCUUUGUGGAUUAUUAUGCUCAGAAAAGGUUUACUCUCUGUGGCGAUCUCAUCCUCAUUACUGGCAGGUCGGUGUUGACUGUUGAUUUCUCCAUGUGAGUGGUGUGACUUUGUUGUUUACACCACAGAUGACAUGUUUAUUCAGUGAGUUCCUCGUGACAUGGAGUCAUAUAGACACUAUUGUAAUGUUUUCAUUGCUGUUUAAAUGUAAAGACUUACUGUGGAGGAAAUUCAAUGUAAAUCUGCAGUAAAAUUAAAUAUUUCUGCAUUUUCUUGUUUGUGAUGUUUUGUUUGCUAUAUGAGUAAUCAUUUUUAAAUGGCUUCUGUUUAGUUUCAAAAGAUAAGAUUUAAAUUAAAUGAAUUAAAGAAGACUAAACAAAAACCGAUGACUUAUUUUAUUUACCACAGAAGCAUUUGAAACCAAAAACUUUCAAUUUCUUUUUUAUUACAAAACCAUUUAAAACAUACAAAUACACAUUUAAGCAUGACAUAGGUUUUUUUUUUAUUUUAAGAACUAUCAAAUGAGAAAUUAAUCAUAACUUACUUUAUUGCAGAGGUUUUGUAAAGGUACCGCAUCUCAAGCCCUCAGAAGGGCACAGCACCGUUGAAGAUCAUCUGAGUGAAAGCUUUAAAUGCAGUACCUUUAUGGAAGUGUGUAAAUAUACAGUGUGGUUGCCCUACAUGACUCGGGGUGCUCAGACAUCAGGCUCCUUUGUAGGAGGAAAACACCUCACUCUGGAGGAGAGGGGAAGAUGGACAUUGACACAUCAGCUCAGUGCAGUCAAGAAUGACUGUGGUGUCUGGGUAGUCCUAAAAGUCUACAGGCAGAUUUGGCCUUAUCUCCUCCUCUGGUAUCCAGAUCCUCAAGUUCAUGGAUGUCAUAAGCAUUGAAGUGCCGACUACAAGCACAGGUGUGUUGUGUUACAUUAAAUUUGUCCCUGUGAAUAGCAACAACCACCUACGUCUCGGCUCUGCAUCAGUGGGAAAAGUAAAAACAAUAAGGACAGAAUU